UCUCUAAAAUGGAUUCUCAAAACUCAACAAGUUCCUUUUAAACUUGGAGGAGAACAUUUUGACUGAUUUAAAACUCAACAAGUUCUUCUUAGACUUGGAUGAGAACAUUGCAUUCUCUAUGAUUAACGUCGUGCCUUUGGGCAAAGUUACAAUUGCUCUUCCGGAGCCUUCAAACAAUUUACUACUUCCAGAGAUUGUAGUAACGUUUGCCUUACACAUAU
rnacentral:lncRNA from 1 species